AGGAAGCAAGCAAGGCCCUCCCGCACCCACUCCCAGGCCGGACCGGACCCACCACACACUCUUCCUUGAGGAGAUGGCAGGCACCCAGGUCUGGGCAGAGCUGCCCUCCUGGUCUCAGUGUCCUGAGAGCUCUUUUCCCCCUCGGACCCCAGAGCAGGGAGACCUGUGCACGGCUCUGCACGGCUCCCCCCGACUCUGUCUCCAAGCCCCUCGGCCAGGUGCACAUGGGGUGGCCGGUCAUCCCGGGGUCCAGACUGCAGAAGUGACCCAGGCUGGCGGGGACAGGGAUGGUCCUCCCAGUCGUCUGUGUCUGCCUCACCUGCCGUGGCGGUCCUCUUUGUCCCGCCUGUCCUGGGACCUGGACACAGAAGCAUCACCUCAUCCUGACUUACCGCCCUGCCCCCAAAGCUCCAGGGCCCAGUGCCCACAGAUGCCACCCCUGGGGCUGGGGGUCCCUGGGGGAUGGGGGCUGGCCCAGUAACAUUGGCAGAGGCCAGGGAGGAUACGGGCAUCACCUGGGUCUUCAGCUCUUUUCCGGAUGAUGCGAGAACAUUACAGGACCAGCCUCAGACACUGUUCUGAAACCUUGUGCAAGACAUGUCCUUUGUUCCAGGACAGUUCACCCCAGGCCUUGGGACCUCCUGAAGUUAAGGACAGAGGCUGGGCUCCCCUCUGGGAAAACAGAAAAGGAACAGGCGUUCGGGGCAAGCCCAGAGCUGCAGAAUGAAAGCCCGGCCACCAGGGAUUCCCUAGGUCCAGAUGACCUCCCAGUGGACUGAUUUCAACACAACUGGGCUGAUUUUCCAGGAGGGGUUUGCGAAGAUGGGCUGGCCUGCCUCCCACCCUGUGGCCCCGAAGCUCCUUCCAUCACAGGGCGCCCCUCCCACCAGGCUGAGCUGGGGACAGUGGUUGGGGGGCCGUGGCUGUCCCAGGCCUGGCCCCAGGGUUGCUGUUUCCCUCUCUGUGCUGUCCCGAGGGGUCCCCCGGUGACCCUGACAUCUUCUUCCAAGGCAGCAUGGCUCCAUGAUGCCAUCGG
rnacentral:lncRNA from 1 species